GUUGGGCACUGACACUUCCCUACACUGGCACAUUGCUACGGGCAAGAUGGGAGCAGGCGCUGGAUCCGCGGCGCAAGGGGAAAGCGGCGGACGGAGUGGGGUUUCCUGGCCUGUCACCGCCUCCUAAGCCGCUGGGAGGAGAGGUGCGUUGGCCUCCUGAGCCACAGCUGCCUCCUUGCCCAGGGAAUCCCGGGAGAUGAGAAUAUCGAAGAACUCCGAAAACCAAAUCGCAUUUCUAAACGCCAGCUGCGGUUCACAUAGGGCCCACCCGGAGUGUUGUCAGGGCUCCCACCCAUGUCCUGGACACACAGCCCAAUCUUGAUCAUUGCAGAAAUGGAGUCAGAGGGAAGAGAUUCAACAACUGUUUUGUUUUUUUUUUUUAAUGCAAUUUACAUUAAAUCAGAAGUGAAUGAUGGCACCA